rnacentral:rRNA from 1 species
AUUGAACGCUGGCGGCAGGCCUAACACAUGCAAGUCGAACGAGUGGCGGACGGGUGAGUAAUGUCUGGGAAAAUGCCUGAUGGAGGGGGAUAACUACUGGAAACGGUAGCUAAUACCGCAUACCCUCGGAUGUGCCCAGAUGGGCUUAGCUAGUAGGUGGGGUAAAGGCUCACCUAGGCGACGAGCCCUCGCUGGUCUCAGAGGAUGACGAGCAACACGGGAACUGAGACACGGUCCCGAUUCCUACGGUAGUCAGCAGUGGGGAAUAUUGCACAAUGGGGGCAAGCCGGAUUCAUCCAUGCCGCGUGUAUGAAGAAGGCCUUCGGGUUUUAAAGUACUUUCAGCGGGGAGGCGUUACCCGCAGAAGAAGCACCGGCUAACUCCGUGCCAGCAGCCGCGGUAAUAC